UACGUAGGGUGCAAGCGUUGUCCGGAAUUAUUGGGCGUAAAGAGCUCGUAGGCGGUCUGUCGCGUCGAAUGUGAAAACCCGGGGCUCAACCCCGGGCCUGCAUUCGAUACGGGCAGACUAGAGUUCGGUAGGGGAGUCUGGAAUUCCUGGUGUAGCGGUGGAAAUGACGCAGAUAUCAGGAGGAACACCGGUGGCGAAGGCGGGACUCUGGGCCGAUACUGACGCUGAGGAGCGAAAGCGUGGGGAGCGAACAGG
rnacentral:rRNA from 1 species